rnacentral:rRNA from 3 species
AAAUUGAAGAGUUUGAUCAUGGCUCAGAUUGAACGCUGGCGGCAGGCCUAACACAUGCAAGUCGAACGGUAACAGGAAGCAGCUUGCUGCUUUGCUGACGAGUGGCGGACGGGUGAGUAAUGUCUGGGAAACUGCCUGAUGGAGGGGGAUAACUACUGGAAACGGUGGCUAAUACCGCAUAACGUCGCAAGACCAAAGAGGGGGACCUUCGGGCCUCUUGCCAUCAGAUGUGCCCAGAUGGGAUUAGCUUGUUGGUGAGGUAACGGCUCACCAAGGCGACGAUCCCUAGCUGGUCUGAGAGGAUGACCAGCCACACUGGAACUGAGACACGGUCCAGACUCCUACGGGAGGCAGCAGUGGGGAAUAUUGCACAAUGGGCGCAAGCCUGAUGCAGCCAUGCCGCGUGUAUGAAGAAGGCCUUCGGGUUGUAAAGUACUUUCAGCGGGGAGGAAGGUGUUGUGGUUAAUAACCGCAGCAAUUGACGUUACCCGCAGAAGAAGCACCGGCUAACUCCGUGCCAGCAGCCGCGGUAAUACGGAGGGUGCAAGCGUUAAUCGGAAUUACUGGGCGUAAAGCGCACGCAGGCGGUCUGUCAAGUCGGAUGUGAAAUCCCCGGGCUCAACCUGGGAACUGCAUUCGAAACUGGCAGGCUUGAGUCUUGUAGAGGGGGGUAGAAUUCCAGGUGUAGCGGUGAAAUGCGUAGAGAUCUGGAGGAAUACCGGUGGCGAAGGCGGCCCCCUGGACAAAGACUGACGCUCAGGUGCGAAAGCGUGGGGAGCAAACAGGAUUAGAUACCCUGGUAGUCCACGCCGUAAACGAUGUCUACUUGGAGGUUGUGCCCUUGAGGCGUGGCUUCCGGAGCUAACGCGUUAAGUAGACCGCCUGGGGAGUACGGCCGCAAGGUUAAAACUCAAAUGAAUUGACGGGGGCCCGCACAAGCGGUGGAGUAUGUGGUUUAAUUCGAUGCAACGCGAAGAACCUUACCUGGUCUUGACAUCCACAGAAGAAUCCAGAGAUGGAUUUGUGCCUUCGGGAACUGUGAGACAGGUGCUGCAUGGCUGUCGUCAGCUCGUGUUGUGAAAUGUUGGGUUAAGUCCCGCAACGAGCGCAACCCUUAUCCUUGUUGCCAGCGAUUAGGUCGGGAACUCAAAGGAGACUGCCAGUGAUAAACUGGAGGAAGGUGGGGAUGACGUCAAGUCAUCAUGGCCCUUACGACCAGGGCUACACACGUGCUACAAUGGCGCAUACAAAGAGAAGCGACCUCGCGAGAGCAAGCGGACCUCAUAAAGUGCGUCGUAGUCCGGAUUGGAGUCUGCAACUCGACUCCAUGAAGUCGGAAUCGCUAGUAAUCGUGGAUCAGAAUGCCACGGUGAAUACGUUCCCGGGCCUUGUACACACCGCCCGUCACACCAUGGGAGUGGGUUGCAAAAGAAGUAGGUAGCUUAACCUUCGGGAGGGCGCUUACCACUUUGUGAUUCAUGACUGGGGUGAAGUCGUAACAAGGUAACCGUAGGGGAACCUGCGGUUGGAUCACCUCCUUA